GACUUUGCUGGAGUUCAGGAAUCA
rnacentral:siRNA from 1 species